GCCAAACAAACAAAACUAUAAUUUAUGAAUAAUAAUUAAAAUGGCUUUGUUUGUGUUGUGUAUUGUAAUCUCGCAAUUACAAUUUUUCCUAAAAUAUGACAUGUGCAUGUAGGCAAGAGACCGCUAGGUGCUAUGGCUAACGCAGAGAGGUUGAGCCGGUUGUGAAGACUGCCAAGCAGUUGGAGAAGGAAGCGAAGAAGUUGGCAAAGUUAGAGAAGUCAAGGGAAAGCAGGACAAGAAAAGUGUCCAAACGACUCAGACAACCAAGGAGAAGCCGAGUUAUAUUAUUCAUGUUAUGAUUAAUCGCGCCUAG